UUUAGCGGCCGUCUCUGGACCCCCCAGGGUUGUUAGUGAAUUAGGCGUGCGGCGGAGCGAGGGGUUCGUCAGAAAGGCGCAUUGAGUCCUAAAAAAGGUCCACGCGUGCCCUGUCGGGCUUCAUCAAGGAGCUGGGGCCACGGGCGUAAUCCUGCUCCUUCAAACCACAGUAGGGUGGCAAGCAUAGAGGACAGUCUGGUUUCCUGCUACUCUGAUCCAGAACAUUUCCACACAGCAGUAGAAUUAGCAGCUAUCAAUGUCACAGUCAGCUCUUGAUCAUCACAAGGCUUGGGCUCCCAAGAUGGAGCAAAAAAAGCAUAUCUGUUCAUUUAUAGGAGAGAGGUAGUUAUCAGCUGCAGAAAGACAUUUAAAACCUGUGGCUGAACACUUCAUCCUCCCUGGAUGCUCCAUUGCUGACCUCAGGAUUGCUGUUCUCAGGCAAAAAAAAAAAAAAAAAAAAAAAAGAAGCAGCAGGAAAAAGCAGAAAAAUCUAUUGCUCUCAGUAUGUUUGAACAGACAAUGGGAAAAGAUUUUACCAUUAAGAUAAAGUUAGUAUUUGGAACUAACCAUCUAUUUCAAAUUUAUUGCCUAGCAUAAAUGUAUUUGACCUAUUGGUCUCUUGUCUUUAGAAUUUAAAUUUAGUAUAAGGAAAACGCUUGUGUAAAGGGUUUGUGGUAUGUCUGGUGUGUGUGUGAAUAUGUCUGGUUUAUGUGGAAAGAGGUAAUGAAAGACUAAAUGAUGGACAUGUGUGCCAGCAACACAGAGACAGGCCUCUUGCAGCAGGUGAAAAUAGCAUUUGUGGCAUGACGGUUAAGAGCUGUAACAAAAUAGUCAGUAGUAAAGGAUUACCAAACACUAAAUCACGCUCCAUCCUGAUGGCUGAAGACUGCAAGCAAUGGACCCUGAAGAUUGCAGACCACAAAGCCAGAAGAUCACGACCUACCAAUCCCAGCCUGCCAACAGGACAAGAAGGACGGUCUUCGAAUCUGACUCCACAAAAUCCAUAGGCUCUAUGGACAGCUAUUACUAUGAAAAACGAACACAAAGACAAGGCUUUGGGUCUCUUCCACCUGCAAGAAGGCAUUUUGGGCGCGUCCAACAAGACCCAACUCCAACUCUCUCGGUCAGCCUGGCUGGCCACCAGACUGACCGUGAGCAACUUUGAAACUUGGUAACACCUUAACCU